GCUGGCAUAGCUCAGUUGGUAGAGCAGCCGCCUUGUAAGCGGCAGGUCGGGGGUUCAAGUCCCUCUGCCAGCACCA
rnacentral:tRNA from 1 species